GAGGGUAGGGCUCAGUGGUAGAGCGCGUGCUCAGCAUGCCCGAGGCCCUGGGUUCAGUCCCCAGCAUCCCCU
rnacentral:tRNA from 1 species